UACGUAGGGGGCAAGCGUUGUCCGGAUUUAUUGGGCGUAAAGAGCGUGUAGGCGGCUAGAUAGGUCCGCUGUGAAAACUUGAGGCUCAACCUCAAGAGGUCGGUGGAAACCAUCUGGCUAGAGUCCGGAAGAGGAGAGUGGAAUUCCUGGUGUAGCGGUGAAAUGCGCAGAUAUCAGGAAGAACACCCGUGGCGAAGGCGGCUCUCUGGGACGGUACUGACGCUGAGACGCGAAAGCGUGGGGAGCGAACAGG
rnacentral:rRNA from 1 species